rnacentral:rRNA from 1 species
GACAGAGGGUGCGAACGUUGUUCGGAAUUACUGGGCGUAAAGCGCAUGUAGGCGGCAGCGCAAGUCGGGCGUGAAAUCCCACGGCUCAACCGUGGAAGUGCACUCGAAACUGCGCGGCUAGAGUCCUGGAGAGGAAGGUGGAAUGCUUGGUGUAGAGGUGAAAUUCGUAGAUAUCAAGCGGAACACCGGUGGCGAAGGCGGCCUUCUGGACAGUGACUGACGCUGAGAUGCGAAAGCGUGGGGAGCAAACAGG